UCUCUGAAUCUCAAUCUCGAUUGACUCUCUCUCUAUAUCUCUCAAACCCCGGUCGUCGGAGCCCACAAUUCCGACCAUGUACACUGCGUUGAAAUCCACUGCUU